CUUUUUUUUAAUCUUUAUUUUUUUGAUAAAAAAAGGUUCCUAGCUUUCGAUCCGAAGAAAUGUGCUUCAAAUUUGGAUUAGGGCAUACGGGUUCCGACUUUAAUGAACGAACUAAAGGGUUGGAUCCGAAGGAUCCAAUCACUAAAUAACAGACCAAAUGGAUUUGGGCUAUCGGGUGAUAGGUUAUUUGGGUUUUGAAUUGGGC
rnacentral:lncRNA from 1 species